CAACUGGUGGUCCAUAACUCUCUGUAACUCACGUUCCGGGAAAUCCUCGGCCCUCUCCUGGCCUUUAUGGGUACCUAUACAUGUUCACGAGUGUGAGCAUGUGCGCGUACACACACACACACACACACACACACACACACACACACACACACGAAAUAAAUCCUUUAAAAAGCAACAUGAAUUUGUUGGUAGAGGAAAUUCAAGGGAACAUUAUAUUCAAAUUGUGCAUGCUAUUGCUCACUGCUCUGAGAGACAGCAAAAAGUUGGCCAGAAAAACAUGAAAAUGGGCAGUGUAGUCAGGAUUCGAUGCUGUAGCUAAGGUGGGAUGCACAGUAUUAGCACCACCAAGGAAAGGUGCUGAGGGUCAGACCUGGGCUGUGCAAAGUUCCAACCUGAGAAAAUGCAAGUUCGUUUGAAACAGGGAGUUUGAACUGGGAAGCCAUUACAAGGGUUCACUGCU
rnacentral:lncRNA from 1 species